UUUUAUUUCGGUCAAAAAUAAAAGUUAAAAAUAAAUAAUCCUAGACACAGAAAGCCAAUCCGCUAACUUGUACUACAACCGGCUGAUACAUCCUCAAAAUGUUUUUAAACACCAAGAGAGUUUUUUUUUUUUUAAUUUAAUCAUUUUAUUUAAAUUUUAUUAGUUUAUAUACUUUAAACUAAUUACAAAUUGACACAUCGUGAACUUCAUAAAAAAGAGUAGCUAAAGUCUCUAAUUUUAGAGCUUGUCUUAAACAAGUUGAGCAUUUUUGA
rnacentral:lncRNA from 1 species